GUUGAGUGUAGUUUGCUGGAAUCACACAGCUGAUCUGCAGCAGUUCUGUUUCAGUAAAGAGAAUUUCAAGCAGUACGCUGUUUAUAUUAAAAGAUCACCUCAAUUUUGUAAUUUUCUUGGUGAAUGCUGACAACCCAUUGAUUCAAUUUAUGCUUCACAGAAUUUGAUUCCAAAGGAAGCCUGAUGAAAAUGCAGAACGGUAUCAAGGAUUUUACACUUUUUGACUUGGAUGGUGAAAGCAAACUCUAUGUGGUUGAUUCGAUAAACAAUUUGCACAGGGCAAAUACCUGUGAAGACCCCUGUGACCCAACGUCAAAGUCAGCAGAAUGUGGAAGUGUUGCUGAUGAAACUGAAGCACCCACGAAGGAAUUGUUGAAAAAUAAUGAGAAAAACGAGCCUGAAGUUGCUUGUUCCACUGAAAGAGAAAAUCCAUGGUGAUGUGAACAGGCAGCCUGUUAAAUAACAGUCCAACAACAGUUAAUUCUACAAAAACUGAUCCUCCGUCUUGCUUUCGGCAUUUGAAGAAAAUGUUACUGCUUGCUACUGUAAUCAUACUUCUUCUGGUCAGCUUUGCACUUGCUGCGCUUGCUAUCUUUUUUAUUGUAAGAAUGGAGAAUCAGCUUAAUUACAUUUCAACAAGAGUGACCUCAGAAGAGAGAAAUAUUAAAGACAUCAAGAUUCUCAUGAUGAACCAUUUCAAUGUUUCAAACGAGCUAAAUGAUAGUAACGUAGCUGGAAUAUCUUCCAUCUCUAACAUACAAAGCCCAUGAUGAGAAGAAUGUAAUUGAAAGGCAUCAAUGACUUAUAAAGUCUGCAGGUUUUAAAGACUCCAAUGAAAACUAAAACAUCCAACAUGAUGCCUCAGUUUACAUAAUCUUCUUCAAACUAUGUCUAUUGUAUUGUCAACUGUGGUGCUGGAAGAAUGCCUAAGCCCAGUCACAUGGAUUCCUUCAAGAAACAUUAAAGAAUAACAAACCCUUCGCAGUGAAUGCAAUUAUAAAUGUGAUCCAUUGCAAAUGUUCCAGCUAAUUAAACUGAAUCAGCCAUUGACUGACUACAGUCACCUGACCCAGCAGAAUAAACUGAUUUGAAUUACAGAACAAGAAAUCCAAAAGGAAUUAAGUCACAAUGCUGCAUGGCAGUUAAUUCCUUUUUACAGGAGUCUGUUUAAUUCUAAACAAUCUCUCAUUUACUUCCCAAUGCAAGUAUCAAUCUAUGAAUGAACUUUGGUAUUAAAGUGUUCUAUAUGAAACUAAUAGCAACCAAA